rnacentral:lncRNA from 1 species
AUCUUUCCAUCUUCUGAGUUUUUUUUUUUUUUUUUUGAUUUCUUUCUUCAGAGACUUGAAGUGCUUGUCAUUCAGACCUUUCACUUGUUGGUUAAGGUCACUCAAAGAUAAUUUAUAUAGUUUGUGACUAUUGUGAAAGGUGUAAUUUCUCUAAUUUUUUUCUCAGUUCAUUUAUUCUUUGAAUAUAGGAAAGCUAGUGAUUUGUUUGAGUUAAUUUUAUAUCCAGCCACUUUGCUGAAUUUGUUUAUCAGCUGAAGGAGUUCUCUGGUGGAAUAUUGGGGUUACUUAAGUUACUAACAUAUCAUCUGCAAAAGUGCUAUUUUUGACAUCUUUCUUUCCAAUCUGUAGCCCUUUGACCUCCUUUUAUUGUCUAAUUGCUCUAGCUGGAACUUCAAGUAUUAUUUUGAACACAUAGUAAGAGAAUGGACAUCAUUUUCUAAAUCCCUGAUUUUAGUAGGUUUGCUUCAAGUUUCUCUCCAUUUAGUUUGAUGUUGGCUACUGAUUUGCUCUAUGUUUCUUUUACUAAGUUUAAUUAUGAGACUGGAAUUCUUUUUCCAAAACUUUUAACAUGAAGGGAUAUUUAAUUUUGUCAAACUUUUUUUUUGUAUCAAACGAAAUGUUCAUAUGAUUUUUGUUUUUCUUUGAUUUUGUCUAUGUAGUGGAUUAUGUUCAUGGCUUUCUAUAUAUUGAACCAUCUCUGAUUCCCUGGUAAGAACUCUACUUGAUUUUGGUAUGGUAAAUUAUUAUGUUCAUAUGUUUUUGGAUUUGGUUUGUGAGAAUUUUAUUGAGAAUUUUUACAUCGAUUUUCAUAAUGGAAAUUGGUCUGAAGUUCUCUUUUUUUUGUUGGGUCUUUGCAUGUUUUGGGUAUCAGCAUUACUGUGGCUUCCUAGAACGAAUUCGAUACUGUUCCUUCUCUUUCUAUGUUGUGGAAUAGUUUUAAGAGUACUGGUAUUAUAUUCUGUUUGAAGGACUGAUAGGACUCUGCACUAAAACCAUCUGGUCCUGUUUUGGUUUUGUUUCUGUUUUUGUUUUUGUUUGACUUUUUUUUUUUUUUUGGGUUAGGAUACUUCUAAUGUCUGUUUUUAUUUCUUAAGGGGUCAUGAGAUUGUUUUGAUGGUUUGUCUCUUCCACAUUUAACUCUGUCCAUAGAUGAGAGUGGGAUGUUGAUGUUUCCCACUUUUAUUGUGUGAGAUGCAGUGUGUGCUUGGACUUCAGUAAAGUUUAUUUAUUAAUGAACAUAAUUGGUCAGGAUUGAGAGUUCAUCUUGGCAGAUUUUUCCUUUGAUGAGUGAGUAUGAAGUGUUCUUCCUUUUUUUUUUUAAUGAGUUUAGGUUGUAAGUCAGUUUUAUUUGAUAUUAGAAUAGCUACUAAAGGUUGUUUCUUGGGACCAUUUUCUUGUAAAUUCUGUUUUUCCAGCCUUUUACUCUGAGAUAGUAUCUGUCUUUUUCACAGACGUGCAUUUUCUGUAUGCACCAAAAUACUAGGUCCUAUUUAUAUAUCCAGUCUGUUAGUCUACGUCUUUUUAUUGGGCAAUUGAGUUCAUUGAUAUUAAGAGAUAUUAAGGAGUAGUGAUUGUUGUUUCUAGUUAUUUUUGUAGUUAGAGAUGGAAUCAUGUUUGUGUGACUAACUUCUUUUGGGUUUGUUGAAAAAUAUUACUUUCUUGCUUUUUAUAGACUGUAGUUUCUCUCCUUAGGUUGGUGUUUUCCAUCUAUUAUCCUUUGCAGCACUGGAUUUGUGUAAAGAUAUUGUGUAAAAAAUUUUAUCAUAGAAUAUCUUGGUUUCCCCAUUUAUGGUAAUCGAGGGUUUUUCUGGGUAUAGUAGGCUAUGUUGGCAUUUUUAUUUUCUUAAAGACUGUAUUACAUUUAUCCAGGAUCUUCUUGUUUUUGUAGUCUCUGGUGAGAAAUCUGAUGUAAUUCUGAUAGUUCUGCCUUUAUAUGUUACUUGACAUUUUUUCCCUUUCUGCUUUUAGUAUUCUUUGUUUGUUUUGUUCAUUUGGUGUUUUCACUAUUAUGUGAUGGAAGCAAUUUCUUUUCUGUCCCAAUGUAUUUGGAGUUUUGUAGGGUUCUUGUACAUUUAUGGUCCUCUCCUUUUUAAGUUACUGAAGUUUUCAUCUAUAAUUUUGUUUAAGAUAUUUACUGGUCCUUUGAGUUGGGAAUAUUUGGACUUUUCUAUAACCAUUUUCCUGAGGUUUGUUCUUUUGUGUGUGUGUUCUGCAUCUUCUGGAUGUUUUGGCUUAGGAGAUUUUGCAUUUUGCAUUUUCUUUGACAAUUGUCUCAAUAUUUACUAUGGUAUCUUCUGAACCUAAGAUUCUCUCUUCUGUCUCUUGUACUCUUUUGGUGAUGCUUGCAUCUGUGACUCCUGAUCUCUUUUCUAGGUUUUCUUUCUCCAGGGUUGUCUAAGUUUGUGAUUUCUUUAUUGUUUCUAUCUUCAUUUUUAGAUCCUGGAUGGUUUUGUUCAAAUCAUUCACUUGUUUGGUUUUGUUUUCCUUUGCUACUUUAAGAUAUUUUUGUGUUUCCUCUUUAAGGGCUUCUACCUGUUUACCUGUGUUCUUCUGUAUUUCUUUAAGGGAGUUAUUUAUGUCCUUGUUAAAGUCCUCUAUCAUCAUCAUGAGAUAUGAUUUUGAAUUAGAGUCUUGUGUUUCCAGCAUGUUAGGGUAUUCAGGGCUUGCUGUGGUUGAAGAACUGGGUUUCAAUGAUGCCAAGUCACCUUGGUUUCUGUUGCUGACGCUUUUUCCUUGCAUCUUGCUAUCUGGUUAUCUCUGGUGUUAGCUGGACUUACUGACUCUGACUGUUGCUUGUCCCUCCUGGAAACCUGUGUUUCAGCACUACUGGGAGACCAGUUCUUUACAGGAGGAAUUUGUGUAUGGAGAGCUGUGGAACAAUGUUAGCUCCAGGCACAGAUGGAAAUCAGGAGCCCUACAUUAAUUAUAUAUACGAAUGGGUAGACACUAGCCACCGAUAUUCUAGACUGGAAUAUUUUUACAUAAUGCUCAGUGCAUGCUGGGUAAACUUAAACAUGGAGAAGGAAUUAAAAGUUAUAAGCUGAUUCUGAUCUAACAUGAUGUACUGAACUUGAAAUGAGUCUAAACUUUUUGAAUUAUUCCUUAACAUCCUUUUAUAAAACAACUUAUACUCAUAACAAUAUUUAAAAAAACAGGUUUAUGGGUUAAUAAAACUCAUAACUGUGCUUAUGAGAUAUCUCAAUAGUUACAGUGCUUGACUUGCUGCAUAAGGAUCCAUGUUUUGUGCCCACAACCUUUGUAAAAGUCACAUGUUGGUAUGCCCUUAGAAUAUCAACACUUGGGAAAAUUAAGUAGGAGGAUCCUCACAGUCAUUGGCCAGCCAAUUUAUGCUGAAUUGGUGGACUUAGGACAAUGAGAAAAAUUUAUCGCUAAAAUACAAAAACAGAACAGAACAG